GGAGUUCUGCGCAUCCCAGUUCCUAGAUCGCCGUGAGGGUAGGUGAUUAGUCUGUCUGAGUUUUUCAACAAAGGAUAAGGAUUCCUGUACGCCAACCUACAUGAUAUAAAUAUUUUUGCACCUAUAUAUGUAUGAUGUGCUAUGAUCCAGAUAAGUUAGAAGAAAAAAAUAGUUUUAUAUUAAAUUAUAUUUUGAUUGUAUUUUCUUGUGAUUGGUAUCAUGAUGGAUGCAUGCUUACGUAUAACCUACACCUGCAUAAUUGGAUUUAUGAAUGUGGUUCUUAUGAUAUGAUGGUAUUAAAUCGUAUUUUGAUCACAUUUGUUUGUAAUUGAUAGUAUGAUGCAUACAAUCCUGAGCAUAACUUACACUUAUAUAAUUGGACUAAUGGAUAUGGUGGAUGGACUAACCAUGUUAUAUUGAUUGCCCUGUCACGGGCCGAAAACGUGACCAUGGUUAGUCUAGGUCAGAAAUAAAGUGGAAAAGAGAAUUGAUGUGUGUGUAUGAAUUGAUUAAAUGAAUAGGAACUUUGGGCUUAUCUCGUUAUUAUUGAUUGCCCCAUCACAGGCUGGAAAUGUGAUACUAUCGGUUGCCCCAUCACAGGCUGGAAAUAUGAUACUAUUGAUUGCCCCAUCACAGACUGAAAAUGUGAUACUAUCGAUUGCCCUGUCACGGGCCGGAAAC
rnacentral:lncRNA from 1 species